ensembl:rRNA 5S_rRNA 5S ribosomal RNA
GUAGGGGGUCAUACCAUCCUGAAUGCGCUGAUCUUGUCUGACAUUAGAAGCUAAGUAGGGUCUGGGAGACUGUCUGGGAAUACUGGGUGAUGUAAGCUUUUUUUCUUUUCCUCCU